AGUCGAGGGGUAUUAUCUUCGGAUAGAGAGACCGGCGCACGGGUGCGUAACGCGUAUGCAAUCUACCUUUUACAGAGGGAUAGCCCAGAGAAAUUUGGAUUAAUACCUCAUAGUAUGUGAGAAUGGCAUCAUUUUCACAUUAAAGUCACAACGGUAAAAGAUGAGCAUGCGUCCCAUUAGCUAGUUGGUAAGGUAACGGCUUACCAAGGCUACGAUGGGUAGGGGUCCUGAGAGGGAGAUCCCCCACACUGGUACUGAGACACGGACCAGACUCCUACGGGAGGCAGCAGUGAGGAAUAUUGGACAAUGGGCGCAAGCCUGAUCCAGCCAUGCCGCGUGCAGGAUGACGGUCCUAUGGAUUGUAAACUGCUUUUGCACAGGAAGAAACAACGCUACGUGUAGCGUCUUGACGGUACUGUGAGAAUAAGGAUCGGCUAACUCCGUGCCAGCAGCCGCGGUAAUACGGAGGAUCCAAGCGUUAUCCGGAAUCAUUGGGUUUAAAGGGUCCGUAGGCGGUUUAGUAAGUCAGUGGUGAAAGCCCAUCGCUCAACGGUGGAACGGCCAUUGAUACUGCUAGACUUGAAUUAUUAGGAAGUAACUAGAAUAUGUAGUGUAGCGGUGAAAUGCUUAGAGAUUACAUGGAAUACCAAUUGCGAAGGCAGGUUACUACUAAUGGAUUGACGCUGAUGGACGAAAGCGUGGGUAGCGAACAGGAUUAGAUACCCUGGUAGUCCACGCCGUANACGAUGGAUACUAGCUGUUGGGAGCGAUCUCAGUGGCUAAGCGAAAGUGAUAAGUAUCCCAC
rnacentral:rRNA from 1 species